AGGAAAAGAGCCACUUAGAUUAGCCAAGGAGACUGCCUAUAAACCACACAAAGGUUUUGAUUGCAGCACUGAAGACCAUGGAGAGAUCAUAGGCAAGUCAUCCUUGGCUACCCAAGUCAGGAUCUUAUCU
rfam:Musa acuminata subsp. malaccensis Doubled-haploid Pahang (DH-Pahang) genomic chromosome, chr10